rnacentral:lncRNA from 1 species
UUCUACUUUAUUUCUCUUUGACUCUUGUUUGUUGUUUGUUUUAGUUACUCCCCACCCCCACCCCAGUCUGACCUUUCUUCCACCCUUAGGGUUUUAGAGUUUUUCCCCUUUCCUUUCUUCUCUCCACCUUUCUUUUAAAAAUGAGAAUGAAACCUAAAAUAAUCCCAGAGUUUAUUAGACAAAGUUGCCCUAAAGAAAGACACUCACACAGGAAAUGGAACCUGUGGUGUUUGCUAGGAAAACGCAGAAUUAAAAACAUCAGCGUGAAAGUCGAUCUUCACAGCCGCCCUCGGAGACCAUCAGGACAAGAAAGGACAAAUGAGGUUCAAAGGGGGUGGCCUGAAGCUGCACUGCCUGCUAGCAGGCACUCAACAUGCUUUGUUAGUGUGGCUAUUAUGCUCCCCAGAUUCCAGAAUGUUCUGUGCCACCAAGAGUGUAAACAGAAGGAAAUACCCCUCUGUCUCAUGCACCUUGAUGAUCACGCUACUUAAAGCUAUCAUGUAGUAGAAAGGAACAGAGGAUUCCUAAGUGUGGAUGGCUAGAACUUGAGCAGACCACUUAAGCGACACUGAGCCAAUCUUCUCAUUCCGGAAUUUGUGAAUAGUUUUCUACCACUAGAUUGUAAAGGGUUAAAUGAGAGAACAGGCUAGAAAAGUACUUUGUAAACUGUAAAGUUCCAUUCCAGGUAUGGGGUAGAGGAGAUGUUAUCUGGUUUAGCAGUGGAGUGCAAGAUCAAACGUAGGUUAGAGGUGUGUGGGGGGAGGGGUGUUAAAAAAAGAAACUUAAAAGACCUCCCAGGGAGAGUAGCGAAGUUACAAACUUCCACACUGUUUCCCCUGCAGGGAACACUCACCCGGGCACAAAGGCAGACCCCAUGGGUCAAUCCCACCUUGAACAAAUGUACGCCUUUCCAUUUGCUACAGCUGUCUGGUGGUCAGAGGUGAAGAGCAGACCAGACAGCUGGCAAGACAUGAAACAACGAGAUGUAGGUAUCACCUUAAAAAAAAAAAAAAAAAAGCACCUGUGGGAAAUAGUGUGCGAUCGAAAAGCAGCAGCAAGUGCUUGGGGCAUUUCAGCUGGAAAGUGAGACAGAGGCAGACCCAAGACAGAUGCAACCCACACCCUCCAUCUGCAAUCAGAGUGCCUCACAUGUCAGAAAGCAAGUUGUCCUCCCUCAGGGCAAUCUUGAAGGCUGUCAAUGUUCUAGCCAUGAGAAAACAAAAAAUCUAUAUAGGACAUUCCAACAUGUGGAGGCCUGAUAGGGCUGAAAGGCUCUAUGGGAGUCUAACUAGCGCAUGCUUCUCACUUGGUGGACUGGGGAUGGCGGGUGGGCUUGCUUCACUGGGGAGGGGAGAGCGGUGUCUGAACCUGCCUGGGGACCGGCCACUGCUUCUGAUCUAAGCCAGCAGAGCUGGGCAAACAACCUGGGUUCAAACCCAAUUGCUUCAAUAGCUACAUUGCUUAACUGCAGUGGCUGACAUGACUACCCUCCCACAGCUUCAGUUUCCUGGUCUGUAAAACAGGGGUGGGUGAGUAACAGCACUUUCCUCUGCGAUGGUGCAUGGCUCAGACUAAGUGAUACCUGAUAAGGCAAUUAGGAAGUGCCUGGCACCAAAGCAGCUGUCAAUAAGCAUUGGCUAUUACAGGACUGUUUCAGAAGGGAAGCUCGUUAGCUCAUCUGGUUCCUAAGGUCCAGAGCUGUGUGAAAACAACUAAAAUCUGCCCUGUACCGGCAAGCAUACCAACGGACCUUACACACUCACAAACGUCUAAGAGACAUUUCAAAUGCUUCUGUGAUUUUUUCCCCCACAUUGGGGUGUUGUACCACGACAGGAAUGUAUAGGUCAAAGGACAACUUGCAAAAAAAAAAAAAAAAAAAAAAAAAAAAGUUUGUUCUUUCCCCCAUGUAGGUCCCAGGAAGAUUAAACUCAGGUCGUUGGGCCCAUACCCACUGAGCCAUCUGGUCAGCCUUCAAACUUUAUGAACUAAUUUAGAUAAAUCAGACGUGCAUGCAGAAAGGCAGUGAAUCUUGUGACUAAAUAUUCAUAUCAGAGCUGUAGUUAGCUCCAGCUGUGUCUCUCACAUGCUAGGACACCUGGAACGAGUCACAGCUUUGUGUCUCUGUUCCACAUCUAUGAACAGAGAAGAAUAAAAUAUCUAACAGUAAAGUAGAGACGAAGUAAGACAAUGUAUGUGUGGGCACAGGUUUCCAUUCAGUCCUUGGCAAGUGAACAGUGCUUAAUAGUUGGUUGCUAUUAUUACUUCAUUCACUUGAAAAGCAAUAGUCAGAAGAAUAUUUAUUAUUAAACUCAAGUGUUUAACCACUAAAUUUGUGGUGUGUGUGUGUGUGUGUGUGUGUGUGUGUGUGUGUGGAGACAUGUGUGUAGCCUGUGCACACGAUGGAGAUCAAUGUUGUUCUUCUCUAACCCUCCCUACCAUAUUCCUUUGAGUCAGGGUCUCUCACUGAACCUAGUUAGCCAGCAGCCAGCAAGCCCCUUUAACCCAUGUGUCUCUGCCUCCCGUACUGCUGUGGUCACAAGCGCGUGGACAUGGAUAUUUACUUGGGUGCUUGGUGUACAAACUCGGGGCCUCAUGCUUAUACAGCACUCUUAAACACUGACCCACCUCUCCAGAGCCUCUUUUUAUCUUAAACAAUAGUGGAGAUGGAUCUUAGGGAGACAAGUGCUGUACCCUUCAGCUAUAUCCCCAGCCCCUAUUCAUUCGAAAGAAGGAGAGAGGGAGGGAGAGACUGAGGAAGGAAGGAAGAAAGGAAGGAAGGAAGGAACGAAGGAACGAAAGAAAAGAAAAGAAAAGAAAAGAAAAGAAAAGAAAAGAAAAGAAAAAAGAAAAGAAAAGAAACAUGUCCUAAGCAGGGCUGGAGAGAUGCCUCAAUGGUUAAGAAUGUGUUGUGCACUUUCCAGCCAGCACGGAGCCAUGGGCACCUCUCAGGACAACUGGCACAAGC